rnacentral:rRNA from 1 species
UACGUAGGCAGCAAGCGUUGUUCGGAGUUACUGGGCGUAAAGGGUGUGUAGGCGGUUGGAUAAGUGUGGUGUGAAAUCUCCCGGCUUAACUGGGAGGGUGCGCUACAAACUGUCUGACUAGAGUGUGGGAUGGGUAAGUGGAAUUCCUGGUGUAGCGGUGAAAUGCGUAGAUAUCGGGAAGAACACCCGUGGCGAAGGCGGCUCUCUGGGACGGUACUGACGCUGAGACGCGAAAGCGUGGGGAGCGAACAGG